GAUGAAGAACGCAGCGAAAUGCGAUAAUUAAUGUGAAUUGCAGAAUUCCGUGAAUCAUCGAAUCUUUGAACGCACAUUGCGCCCGCCAGUAUUCUGGCGGGCAUGCCUGUUCGAGCGUCAUUACAACCCUCAGGCCCCCGGGCCUGGCGUUGGGGAUCGGCGGAAGCCCCCUGCGGGCACAACGCCGUCCCCCAAAUACAGUGGCGGUCCCGCCGCAGCUUCCAUUGCGUAGUAGCUAACACCUCGCAACUGGAGAGCGGCGCGGCCACGCCGUAAAACACCCAACUUCUGAAUGUUGACCUCGAAUCAGGUAGGAAUACCCGCUGAACUUAAGCAUAUCAAUAAGCGGAGGA
rnacentral:misc_RNA from 1 species